rnacentral:rRNA from 1 species
GACAGAGGGUGCAAACGUUGCUCGGAAUCACUGGGCGUAAAGGGCGUGUAGGCGGGAAGGAAAGUCAGAUGUGAAAUCCCUGGGCUCAACCCAGGAACUGCAUUUGAAACUCCCUUUCUUGAGUGUCGGAGAGGAAAGCGGAAUUCCUGGUGUAGAGGUGAAAUUCGUAGAUAUCAGGAGGAACACCGGUGGCGAAGGCGGCUUCUGGACGA